AAAUAAUAACAAUUUCAGCAUCCAUUCUCCUUUACACAUAACAAACAACACCAAUACCUAAAUCCCAUCACCGCCCCAACCCACUUAUCCACGACCCGACCCGAUCCAACUUUUGUUUCUUCUUUCCUUAACCCAACAUCGAUAACAGAUAACCAACAACAGUGCAAAAACAACCAUCCAAACAUGAUGCAACAACAACAGUUCCAGCAAUGGUAAAAUCCUAAUUCAGCAACGACACCAUGCUAAAAAACUGAACCCGACCCAUCUCCAAUUACAAUGAACCCGACCCGGUCUCAACCCAUAUCUUACAUGCGUCACAUGCCCUCCCAUGUGGAUUUAUGCGAAGAAAGAUGAGAAGCUUUGAGAAGACUACUUAAUUGGCCCGUCCAAUGUUCAAUUUCACAAAUCUCGGAGUAUUUCGUACGAGUUCGUUACAUACCUAUUGAAUUUUGAUUGGUUCUUGGAGAAUUUUUUCUUGGCCUCAAAAUACCUGAUUUUGGUUUUUAAUUUGUUCAAAAUAGUUCAUUUGGGAGGAUCUGUUGGGAAGAAUUUUGGUUUUGAGUUUUGAAAUUUGAUAUUCCUUGAGAAAAUUCCAAAAUUACCCUAAAAAGGGUUGUGUUCCCGCAUCGAGGAAGAGGUUUUGAGAACCCUCAUUUCUUAUGGAUAUUAAAAGCUCAUUCGUUGGGUUGAAAAGGGGGAUUUUGGCUCUUGGGUUCAAAAAUUUUCUAAAAAAGUUAGGUUGGAAAAAAUUUCUUUUGGGUCAAGAAAAAAGGGUUUCGAGAAAGAGAAACUUUUGUUCAGCAAAGAUUUUAAGAAGUAGCAGUCAGUUUAGUCAAAAUUCACAUAUCGGUAUCGAGCUUUCCGGUGGUGGUGGAGUCCAACGUUAGCUCGUAGUCCCGUUUUGCUGCUCCCUAAAAGACUCUUUUCCCUUGCAUUACACAACGUGCCAUCGAGGCCUAUUUUCUAGAAGACUUUGAAAGCCGAUUACAUAGCGCAUGGUUAUGAAGAGUCGAACGCAGAAGAAUGGGCUAAAGUCCCGGCAAAGAGACUAGAAAGUUUCUUUUUUAUCUUUUUAUUUAUUUAUAUAUUCAUUGUUGUCUUUUAUUUCUUUAUUCAUUCAUUUGGGCCUCGAAGCCAAAGUUGUAAAUUUAAUACAGGUGAAGCAAGACUCGAGCCAAAGGCUCAAAUACUAGUUUAGGACAUGUGAAAUGGGUUGAAAGCCCAAUUAGACAAGGAGAAGUCUUG